UACGGGGGGGGCAAGCGUUGUUCGGAAUUACUGGGCGUAAAGGGCUCGUAGGUGGCCAACUAAGUCGGACGUGAAAUCCCUCAGCUUAACUGGGGAACUGCGUCCGAUACUGGAUGGCUCGAGUUUGGGAGAGGGAUGCGGAAUUCCAGGUGUAGCGGUGAAAUGCGUAGAUAUCUGGAGGAACACCGGUGGCGAAGGCGGCAUCCUGGACCGAUACUGACGCUGAGGAGCGAAAGCCAGGGGAGCAAACGGG
rnacentral:rRNA from 1 species